rnacentral:lncRNA from 1 species
GGCCACUUGACUUCGGACUUUUCAUCCUCCAGAAAUGUAAGAAAUAAAUUAUUUUUCUUUAUCAACUACCCAGAAUACUACCCAGUGGUAGUCUGUUAUAGCAACACAAAACAGACUGACACUCGCAGAAUUUCUACAAGAUCUUUUUAAUUUUGCUUCCAUUGCAAUUUCAUUUUGGCUUUUGACCCUUGCAUCUAGAAUAGGCUUGGCCUUGCUCCAGGGAACAUGCCAUCCUGGCCUGACAUACUUCACCUUCCCAACUUCUGUCUUCUUUGUCAACUACCCACUCCGAAGUAUCCCUGACUUGCCUCCCUUGUCUUUGUUUCUCCUAGUGUGUUUUGUUUUGCUUUUUGAUGCAUGGGCCAUGACAGAAAUCUACUGAGGUGAAGGGGAAUUGAGGAGAGACUCAUUGUUUUCAGCAAGAUGGGUAGUUAUUGAGGAGAAAUUAGAAAGCAUCAACUAACUGAAUGUGAUAGGAUCCACAUUCCCACCACACGAAAUGAGACAGAUUUUUAAAUAUGGCUAAGCAGUGUAAGUAUUCAGGCAAAGUCUGACAACUAAAUAUGUAGUGGGCUCUAAUUAGAUGCUUCUUCAUUUGUCUCUAGGAAAAGGACUGAAGAAAACAGACAGUGAGACUGAUCCAAAAACUCCCAUGUAUAUACAAACACAUGAAAAAUGUCACCAAAAUGUUAAUGGCAGUUACGUUACAGUUGCAUCAGGGAUGGGCUUUCAGUGCAUGACAUCUACAAGUGUACAAGAUGGUACUGGAUCCAGUGAGGAAGACAAAAAGUCUGGCAGGAAUGUGAGAGAGACUGGGAAGAAUUGGCUCAAUAUGAUGAUGGAGUUCAGAGAGCUAAAUGAAGUGCUGAGAAGUCACUGUUUUAAAUGGCUUAGCCGUGUGGAGGUGAGAAACCCCAAGGAUGUUCCAGUUAUCUUUUGUUGCAUUACAAACCAUCCUGCAAUUUAGUGGCAUAAAAUAACAAACAUUUUAUUGCACUCAUGAUUUGGGCAGUCAGGAACUUGGGUGCGGCACAGCAGAAAUGGCUGGCUUAUCUCUUCUCCAUGAUAUCUGGGUCCUCCACUAGCGUGGCCUGAAUGGUUGGAGAUGACUGAGAUAUCUUUACUGGGGCCAUAUGUCUGAAACCUCUUUUCUUCUUUUUGGGAUAUCUGAUGGGCCUAAGAAGUCUAAGUUUUCUCUUUCACUCAGGUAUAGUGCCUGGGCUGGGAUGGCUGGAAUGGUUGAGGGCUGGCCAGCCUCACUCUGUCUCUCUCUGUCUACAAAGGUGGUUUCAUGGUGGCCAUAGUUCUUACAUGGUAGGUGGUUUCCCCCAGAGUGCAAGAGAAUCCCAACAGACAGCAUGCC